GGCGCGGGGCGUAUCGGGGCGCGCGGGAGGACGGCAUAAGCGAUAUUGGGUUUUAUUAAGUAUGAAUGCAGCGUCUGACAGCAAACACCGUAUUUCCCGCGCGCCGCUCGCUUGUCCCACAUUCACGAACAUUACAACAAAUGCAAAUAGUGACACAAUUAACUUAUUGAUUCAAGGUUAAAAUUGGACAGAACAAUAUCAGGUUAGGGAUUUAAAAGUUACAUACAAGCAAAGGAGGAUAGACGGUUACAGUAAAAAACGGGCGGUUAAAACAGUGGAAGUGUACGAGGAAGCCAAGGUCAAGGGAUGAGUUCCCCAAGCGCUGACCAGACCUAGCCUAUUGCUUUCGUGCCGCAAACAGACAGGUUACGAAGAGGAGGAGGCAGGUCAUUCCAGCACCUAGUGGCGCAGAACCUAAAGCUUCCUCGGAAACUCACCGUUCUAUGUAUUGGCAUUCUAAGUUUUAUCAAUGACGCUCUAGUGACAUGCUCACUAUCAUUAUUUCCUAACCACUGUAAUUUAUGAUAGAGGUAAGGUGGAACCUGGUAUUUUAUAGUGCCAAAAAGUAACGUAGCGAAAUGUAAUUGCAUACGAUAAUUCAUUUUUAAGAUGUUAGCAUUAUUUAAAUAUGGUGUGAUAUGUGUACGUGGCGGUAUUUUAAAGCAGUAGCGAGCGCAGGCGUUCUGGACUCGUUGGAUGAUUUUUUUUGUACGUUCAAGUAAACGGGGCCCUAUAACUACAUCUGCAUAAUUAAAUUUAGAAAGAACUAACGCCUCACAAAGUCUAAUGCGUACUUUGGUAGAAAUGGAGUCUCUAAUAUUAUAAAGAAUUUUUAACCUAU